GCUGGAGAGAGAGCGCGCUCAAAAGCAAACCUGAACCUGACCCUGCUCCCCGUUUUUAAGAGGAACCGAGAAAAAGAGACUGGAGGAGAGCUUUUGUUCACUUGCUUGAUUUCUGUGGGUUUUUUUUUCCUUCUUCCCCGUGUCAGGCGGUUUUUCCAUUUGCCUCCUCUCCAAUGAGGCGGGGGCAGCCUCCCCUGUGAAAAUAAACUCUCAAAGCAGACCGGCCUAGGGAGCAAGCGCCUGCUGGGGGUAUGGGCAUCCCUGGAUAGAAGAUGAUUUCUCCUGACUGGGGCCUUCCUCUCCUGCAUGUGGCUACCCGCCCCACCCCCUCCUGCUGCCUCUUAUAGACCCGAGCGAGCCUUGGCGUCUACUUUUGUACUGGGCUCAGAGGUGAAAACAGGCUGGCUUCGGGCACACUGGGAAGCCAUGACGUGUGGGCAGCAGGAGAUAAGAGGAGACAUCUGGAAGGGAUGAGGGUUUCUUUGUGUAGGCUUGGCGGUCCUCACCGAGCCUCUUCCUGCCAAGUGCUGAGAUUACAGGCCUGAGCCACCACAGCAGUGACCGAAACACUUCACAGGAACAACCUAAGGGAGGAGGGUGCUCUUUGGCUCACAGCCCCUGUGCGUUUCGGCUCCUCAGGGCAGGGAAGGCACGCAGCAGGGACAUCCCUGGUGGCAAGAGUGUGAAGUAGCAGGUCCAGAGCGAGGAAUGUCCAGAAAGAGGGGCGGGGCUGUUGAUUUCCCAAAGCCUACCCCUGGGGACCCAGCUCUCAAGGUAGGCUCCACCCCCUAAAUGGUCCCCAGCUUUCAAAAUGGUCUCAAGGCUGUGGAGCAGACACGGAGAACACAGGUCUGUGGGGGCAUUCCAGGUUCAAACUCACGCGAUAUCCAGCACUCACAUGAUGUGUGAGUUCACACAUCAUGUUCACACCUUCAGAACACGUUGCUUCUUACAGAACUGAAGGCGACCUGCCACAGUGUCUCAUACCUACAGUCCCAGCAUUUUGGAGGUGAAGGAAG